rnacentral:lncRNA from 1 species
GGCGCACCGGCUCAGGGAGGACUGCCACAGGCCAGGUUUAUGAGCACAGCAAAUCAUCGCUCUCUUAAAUCACUAAGCUUUGGGAUGAUGUGUUGUACAGUAAAUAACUGGACCAUAAUCAGUAGUUUGAGAGACCACCAGCAAGAUUCUAUUGCAUGCCAAAAUACGGUGCCACUGCCUGAGAGAGAUGGUGUCCAGGUCAAGACCCAGGCAUCGUGGGAUGAGGUCAGAGCAAAGGUGACUGCAGAUGUAUCGUCAUGGGACCCAGCUCUCCAAUGAAGAUGUAAAGUAUUUCCCAUUGCCCCAGAAAACUUCUUUCUCAUCCCAGUGCCUGGAAAAUUCUGGAAAUAAAUAUACCCCA